rnacentral:rRNA from 1 species
AUUGAACGCUGGCGGCAGGCCUAACACAUGCAAGUCGAACGAGUGGCGGACGGGUGAGUAAUGUCUGGGAAACUGCCUGAUGGAGGGGGAUAACUACUGGAACCGGUAGCUAAUACCGCAUACCAUCAGAUGUGCCCAGAAGGGAGUAGCUUGCUGGUGGGGUAACGGCUCACCAAGGCGACGAUCCCUAGCUGGUCUGAGAGGAUGACCAGCCACCCUGGAACUGAGACACGGGCCAGACUCCUACGGGAGGCAGCAGUGGUGAAUAUUGCACAAUGGGCGCAAGCCUUAUACAGCCAUGCCGCGUGUAUGAAGAAGGCCUUCGGAGUGUAAAGUACUUUCAGCGGUGAGGCGUUACCCGCAGAAGAAGCACCGGCUAACUCCGUGCCAGCAGCCGCGGUAAUUC